rnacentral:lncRNA from 1 species
UGGACACAAUAAAAAAGGAAAGAAGAAGGAAGUCUCUACCUUUUCCUUUGGAGGAGCUCCAGUUUCUGGCAUGGCCUUCCAGCCCUGGUCUUCCAGUUCCUGGCACAGAGUCUUCAGCCUUCUGACCUGACUUGCACCAGACUCUGCUGUGAUCUCCAAGUCUUUGCCUUUCACUGGACACUCUGGCUCCCAGUGUACAGAUGGCCGGUCUGCACUCUUCCUCUCUGCCCUGACAGACGGCCACUGGGGCUCUUCUGCUUCUGGUCUGUUGGAUUGACUGAGAAGGUGUUAGAAAUGAGAUUUCCCAG